rnacentral:rRNA from 1 species
GUGGUAGAUGAUUAUUGGGCCUAAGCAUCCGUAGCUCGUUUUGUAAGUUUUCGGUUAAAUCCAUGCGCUUAACGUAUGGGCUGCCGGGAAUACUGCAUAACUAGGAAGUGGGAGAGGUAGACGGUACUCGGUAGGAAGGGGUAAAAUCCUUUGAUCUAUUGAUGACCACCUGUGGCGAAGGCGGUCUACCAGAACACGUUCGACGGUGAGGGAUGAAAGCUGGGGGAGCAAACCGGAUUAGAUACCCGGGUAGUCCCAGCUGUAAACUAUGCAAACUCAGUGAUGCAUUGGCUUGUGGCCAAUACAGUGCUGCAGGGAAGCCGUUAAGUUUACCGCCUGGGAAGUACGUACGCAAGUAUGAAACUUAAAGGAAUUGGCGGGGGAGCAC